rnacentral:antisense_RNA from 1 species
AGCAAAGGCGUGUUUGAGUGCGUUCACUCUGUUAAAAAGAAAUCCGCCCCCGCCCCGUUUCCUUCCUCCGCGAUACAACCUUCCUAACUGCCAAAUUGAAUCGGGGUGUUUGGUGUCAUAGGGAAAGUAUGGCUUCUUCUUUUAAUCAUAAGAAAAAGCAAAACUAUUCUUUCCUAGUUGUGAGAGCCCCACCGAGAAUCGAAAUCACCUGUACGACUAGAAAGUGUCCCCCUACCCCCUCAACCCUUGAUUUUCAGGAGCGCGGGGUUCACUAAGUCAGAAACCCUAGUUCAAAGGAUUCCUUUUGGAGAGUCGGACUGCUCUCUCCUUCCCCUCCCCUUCCCCUCCUGCGUGUAAAACGGCUGUCUGGGGCAAGGGUUUCUCAGACGUGUACAUUGCCUGGUAUAAGAG